rnacentral:misc_RNA from 1 species
UGGCCUUGACAUGUCGAGAACUUUCCAGAGAUGGAUUGGUGCCUUCGGGAACUCGAACACAGGUGCUGCAUGGCUGUCGUCAGCUCGUGUCGUGAGAUGUUGGGUUAAGUCCCGCAACGAGCGCAACCCUCGUUCCAUGUUGCCAGCGGGUAAUGCCGGGGACUCAUGGGAGACUGCCGGGGUCAACUCGGAGGAAGGUGGGGAUGACGUAGACCUUGGACC